rnacentral:rRNA from 1 species
GACGAACGCUGGCGGCGUGCCUAAUACAUGCAAGUAGGACGCUGAAGGAGGAGCUUGCUUCUCUGGAUGAGUUGCGAACGGGUGAGUAACGCGUAGGUAACCUGCCUGGUAGCGGGGGAUAACUAUUGGAAACGAUAGCUAAUACCGCAUAAUAGUAGAUGUUGCAUGACAUUUGCUUAAAAGGUGCAAUUGCAUCACUACCAGAUGGACCUGCGUUGUAUUAGCUAGUUGGUGGGGUAACGGCUCACCAAGGCGACGAUACAUAGCCGACCUGAGAGGGUGAUCGGCCACACUGGGACUGAGACACGGCCCAGACUCCUACGGGAGGCAGCAGUAGGGAAUCUUCGGCAAUGGACGGAAGUCUGACCGAGCAACGCCGCGUGAGUGAAGAAGGUUUUCGGAUCGUAAAGCUCUGUUGUAAGAGAAGAACGAGUGUGAGAGUGGAAAGUUCACACUGUGACGGUAUCUUACCAGAAAGGGACGGCUAACUACGUG